GGGUCAGUAGGUUGGUCGUGCCACCGGUACGUACUGGUCUCACUGAUUCCUCCUUCCUGAAGAACCGUAAUGCCAUUAAUUUGGUGUUGCGGGGAAACAAGACUGUUACUUUGAAAAAAUUAGAGUGUUUAAAGCAAGCUAACGCUUGAAUACAUUAGCAUGGAGUAAUGAAAUAGGACGAUCGAUCCUAUUUUGUUGGUUUCUAGGAUUGACGUA
rnacentral:rRNA from 1 species